GCUGUUUCCUAGGAGUCCUCUAUCACCUCUGGCUCCUACUCUCUUUCUGCCUCCACAGAUGACCGCACAGAUGACUGGGCCUGUAUAGUUGACUAAGUAUUCCUUUUAGAUCGAGUGAUACAAGUUCACUCUCUGCACAUUGUCCAGUUGUGGGUCACUGUAGAUUGAGAUUAACUCCGAUCUAAUGUAAAAGAAUGAUGUGGGUUGAACAAUUGGCUGAUCCACAGGUAAAACGUAUCAAAGGAAUAGAAAGGAUUAGAUCCAUCACCUGACUUCAAAGUUAAUACUCAGACCACAUGUUGCUCAUACCUUUAAUCCUACCUAUUGUGAAUCUAAAGAAAGGGACCAGCCAAGCAUGUGAGUACAGCCUGAUGCACAAAGUGGCUUCAAACAGAAUUUGGAAUACAGACUGAGAUCUAACCCCACACCAAACUGCAUAACUGUGAGAAUUUAAGGAAACCUGUGUACUCCACACAGGAACCUAAUAAACGUUUCUUUCUUUCAUUUUU